rnacentral:rRNA from 1 species
UACGUAGGGACCGAGCGUUGUCCGGAUUCAUUGGGCGUAAAGAGCUCGUAGGCGGCUGCUCAAGUCGAAUGUGAAAACUCAAGGCUCAACCUCGAGCCUGCAUUCGAUACUGGGCGGCUAGAGUCUGGUAGGGGGAUCUGGAAUUCCUGGUGUAGCGGUGGAAUGCGCAGAUAUCAGGAGGAACACCGGUGGCGAAGGCGGGAUCCUGGGCCAGUACUGACGCUGAGGAGCGAAAGCGUGGGGAGCGAACAGG